CAAUGAGUUACUUAUCUCAUUGAUUAUAUUGAAUAAAUUAUUUAUGUUGAAUGAAUAAUUAUAUUUGCAGAAACCAUUAAAAACUCAGAAAAAGAAAGGGAAUGGAACCGAGAGAUAAAAUAUUAAUCCUAAAAUACUUUCUAAGCAUCUUCAAUGGAAUUUUCUUGCUUUCACAGGUGAGAACCACUUGGUAGCAUGCAUUUCUUAUAUGUUGCUUGGCGCUGAAUCCAUUGUUGUUUUUAUUUCAUUCUUGGGAUUCCUAGGAAUCUUUGAAGAAAUCAGAUGGUUACUAAUUCUGUAUCUGGGACUCAUAGUCUUGCUGUUUGGUGUCCAAGUUGCAAUGCCAGUGCUAAUAUAUACAAGAAAAGAAGAGGUCCAGAUUAUGUGGAAUGACAGAAUUGAUGCAGUUAUUUCUAACUAUGGGAACAAAAAUCUGACUGGAAGAGAACAUGAGUGGGAUAUUCUGAAUGCUGUGCAGAAUACUGUAGNAACCAGUGUGUAUUGUAAAUGCUCUGUAUUAACAGGUCCAGAUUAUGUGGAAUGA
rnacentral:lncRNA from 1 species